AGUGAACGCUGGCGGUAGGCCUAACACAUGCAAGUCGAACGGCAGCACAGGAGAGCUUGCUCUCUGGGUGGCGAGUGGCGGACGGGUGAGGAAUACAUCGGAAUCUACUUUUUCGUGGGGGAUAACGUAGGGAAACUUACGCUAAUACCGCAUACGACCUACGGGUGAAAGCAGGGGACCUUCGGGCCUUGCGCGAUUGAAUGAGCCGAUGUCGGAUUAGCUAGUUGGCGGGGUAAAGGCCCACCAAGGCGACGAGCCGUAGUUGGUCUGAGAUGAUAGUCGAGCAGACUGGAACUGAGACACGGUCCAAACUCCUACGGGAGGCAGCAGUGGGGAAUAUUGGACGAUGGGCGCGAGCCUGAUCCAGCCAUACCGCGUGGGUGAAGAAGGCCUUCGGGUUGUAAAGCCCUUUUGUUGGGAAAGAAAUCCAGCUGGCUAAUACCCGGUUGGGAUGACGGUACCCAAAGAAUAAGCACCGGCUAACUUCGUGCCAGCCGCCGCAGUAA
rnacentral:rRNA from 1 species